CCUACGGGAGGCAGCAGUGGGGAAUAUUGCACAAUGGGCGCAAGCCUGAUGCAGCGACGCCGCGUGAGGGAUGACGGCCUUCGGGUUGUAAACCUCUGUUAGCAUCGAAGAAGCGAAAGUGACGGUAGGUGCAGAGAAAGCGCCGGCUAACUACGUGCCAGCAGCCGCGGUAAUACGUAGGGCGCGAGCGUUGUCCGGAAUUAUUGGGCGUAAAGAGCUUGUAGGCGGUUGGUCGCGUCUGCUGUGAAAGGCUGGGGCUUAACCCUGGUUUUGCAGUGGGUACGGGCUAACUAGAGUGCAGUAGGGGAGACUGGAAUUCCUGGUGUAGCGGUGGAAUGCGCAGAGAUCAGGAGGAACACCGAUGGCGAAGGCAGGUCUCUGGGCUGUAACUGACGCCGAGAAGCGAAAGCAUGGGGAGCGAACAGGAUUAGAUACCCCAGUAGUC
rnacentral:rRNA from 1 species